UUUUUAAUGGUUUUGAAAAACGCUGGUUUGUCAUGCCAGAGGCACCCGUAGGGUUUAGGCUG
rnacentral:tRNA from 1 species